AAAACAAAAGAAAAUCGUGACCCUCCUCCUCCUUUUCUCUUCACUGCCGUUCUCUCUUUCCCCUCACCUUUCUUGAUCCAGUUGCAGCAAAUCUGCACUCCCUCCCUCCCCUUAUCUUCAUCCACUGCCCAGCAAAUCUGCACUCUCAAAUCUGCACUUUCUCAGUUGCAACAUCUUUCUCUCUCGUCUCAGCCCAGCCGUUGCUGCUCCGUCUUUGCUCUCCCGGAUCUGUCACUUGCCCAGCCGCCAUCUCGCUGCAACCACUGCUGCUCCAUCCAACUAGCUUGACUGUUUUUGCUCUCUCAGCUCCAUCUUUGUUAUGUGAGUUGCUGAUUGGGUUUUAAUUUGAUUGCGUACAAUAAUUAUUUUCUAAGGCUUGCGUACAAUCGAAUUUGGCAUUCAUUGGGUUUUAAUUUGCUUGGGAAUCUUUGUUAUGUGAGUUGCUGAUUGGGUUUUGAGUUUGAUUAAUGGAUUAAAAUACAAUAGAUUUGUUAGUGUUAAUACAUUGAUAAUUUGAACGUGUAAUGUAAUUUUCCUGCUAGUGCUGAUGAUUAUUGUUUUUUUUUUCUUUUGGCAGAGCAAAUAUUGUUUCUGGAAAGCAGUUAAACUGCUUUCUAAUUCCGUGUCUAAUGUGUUUUCAGAAUGAAUAUUCAAAAAAAAAAAAUUGACACUUAUUUCACAAAAAGUUGUUCCAAGAAGAUGUGUAAUUGGAUUUACAUUUAUUGCUGUGUUUGGGAGCAUGGAAUCAGAACCUUGGAAUUGGAAAUUGAAACUGCAAAUGCUAUAUAAAAUAAUUUUGCACGAGCAAGCUUCAUGUUAAAUUGCACUAACUCUAGUUCAUACCAUGCAUGCUUUCAGUUUAUUAUAGCUGGAAUACACAUGCUGAUCUUUAUGGUAUGUUUAUCGCAUUACAAAUUUAGUUAAAGUACCUUUGAGAUAAAGAGUUUUUGUGUUAAUGUUAAAUGAGAAAAUGCAUAGAUUUGAUUAUAACAAAUCUGUUGUAUUAUAAUCCAUUAAUCAAAUUAUCAACGUAUGCAUAAUUAUAGUUUACAUAAGCAACGUCUCAUUCCAAUUGCAUGUUGCACUUUACAUAAUUUUAUUCGACAAGAAAAUGCAAGUGAUACGUUAUUUGGGGACUUUGAUGUGCAAGAUUUGGUUAUCAACGAAUGAGACACUAGUAGGCCACUUACUAAUAUUGAUUUAUCUCCAGCAAGUGUCGCAGAGAUGAAUGCUACAAGAGAUGAAAUUGCAGCUUCUAUGUGGCAUGAUUACAUACGUAAUGCAUAAUGUCUAUCAUGUAAUUUUUUUAUAAUUAUUUUGUUUAAAUCAUGUGUUGUAAUAUAUAUCUUAUUUAUGGUAUAAAAACAAUGACAAUGUCAAACUUUUUUUUAAUUAAUGUUAAUUCUAAAACUUUAUCAUCAUGUAAUUUUUUAAUAAUAAAUUUGUUUAAAUUAUUUUGUUGUAUUUGUGUAUGUAUUAGCUAAAUAAUUAUUUUAUGACUAUAAAUAUAAUGUAAAUGCUUAGUAAAAAUUAUUUUUGAAAAAAGCAUUACCAAACACAUAUUUUCUGUUUUAUCAUUUUCAACUGUGUCUACCAAACGCAUAUUAUUGUUUUUAAUUUUAAAAUAUAGGAUACAGAAAAUGAUACCAAACGCAUAUUUAAAUUCGAAAUACAGCAACUGCAAAACACAAUUUUUAUUUUUAUUUUUAUUCUCAAAAAAUAUAAAUUCAGAAACAAUACCAAACGAGCCCUAAGCUUCCUAACAUGUUGCUUCUCUCCGUUUCUCUCUAGAGAUUAUAAUAUCUAAAAUGGGAUUCGCAGGGUUCAAGGAUUUAAAUUUUGAUCAUUCUCGGUGUCUUAACCGUAGAGAAGGCUGUCAAGGUUAUGAUGUAUUUAAUUGUACUGACAUUUUCUUUUUCAAAUGGCACGACGUAGGAUUUGAGUCGUCAUCUUAUCAAUUUUUCAAUUUUCUCCUAGGAUUUUUUUUUCUUUCUAUUUCUUUUUCCUAAAAUUGAAACGAAUUUGUGGCUCCCUCUCAUCAGAGUCCUGUCAGCUUUAAUUUAGUUGUAAAAGUUAUAUUUGUAGUCGAACACAUGCAAUUAGCACAACAGUGCUGUCAUUCAACUUACUUUUCCUGAAACAUGCAGCUUCAGUCAUUUUCUCAGGAUCUUCUGCAGGUUUGGGAUUAUAAUGGCUUAGGUUAAGGUCGAGG
rnacentral:lncRNA from 1 species